CCUACGGGAGGCAGCAGUGGGGGAUAUUGCACAAUGGGGGGAACCCUGAUGCAGCGACGCCGCGUGGGUGAAGAAGCGCCUCGGCGCGUAAAGCCCUGUCAGCAGGGAAGAAAAUGACGGUACCUGACGAAGAAGCCCCGGCUAACUACGUGCCAGCAGCCGCGGUAAUACGUAGGGGGCAAGCGUUAUCCGGAUUUACUGGGUGUAAAGGGGGCGCAGACGGCGAUGCAAGCCAGGAGUGAAAGCCCGGGGCCCAACCCCGGGACUGCUCUUGGAACUGCGUGGCUGGAGUGCAGGAGGGGUAGGCGGAAUUACUGGUGUAGCGGUGAAAUGCGUAGAUAUCAGGAGGAACACCGGUGGCGAAGGCGGCCUGCUGGACUGCAACUGACGUUGAGGCCCGAAAGCGUGGGGAGCAAACAGGAUUAGAUACCCUAGUAGUC
rnacentral:rRNA from 1 species